ensembl:lncRNA
CAAAGGUCCCUCCAGUCUCCUCUUCUCUCCUGCUCUGUCCUGUCCUUCUGGUACCUCAGACCCUGGCUACUCACCUCCUCAGACAGCUCAGUGUGUUCUCUAGAAGGGGUUUGUUACAACCUCUACAGGUGGUCUCCUCACUACAGAAGACAUGGACACCUGGGAACCCAACCUGGUGCGGUAGAUCCAUUAAGGCCAGUUUCCCCUCUGAAAGCCUUCACAUGUCCUGUGACCUGAUGGGAAUAAUAUUGAAUCCCUCCAUGUGGACAGUCCCACCCCUGGUCCCAGGGCAGAGCUUCAGCUACGUCCAUGGGGCCUCCUCAGUGUCCCUGCUGGGCCAGACGGUGGGUCAGAGUUUGCAGGCGGCAGCUGACCGCUGGCCCCACAGAGAGGCCCUGGUGUUCGUGCAGGAUGGAGUCCGUAAGACCUUCUCCCAGUUUCAGGAGGACGUAGGUCUUUCAUCCACCCUCUCUUCUAAUCUAUUUCAUCAUAUCUUAACAUAACAGGACUGUAGAGGUUUAGGAGGGGUAACAUAACAGGACUGUAGAGGUUUAGGAGGGGUAACAUAACAGGACUGUAGAGGUUUAGGAGGGGUAACAUAACAGGACUGUAGAGGUUUAGGAGGGUAACAUAACAACAGGACUGUAGAGGUUUAGGAGGGGUAACAUAACAGGACUGUAGAGGUUUAGGAGGGGUAACAUAACAGGACUGUAGAGGUUUAGGAGGGGUAACGUAACAGGACUGUAGAGGUUUAAGAGGGGUAACAUAACAACAGGACUGUAGAAGUUUAGGAGGGGUAACAUACAUGUACUAUGAUUCUGUUAUACUGAAAUAAAAUAUAAAUGCAGCAUCUAAAGUGUUGGUCCCAUCUUUCAUGCGCUAAAAAAAAGAUCCCAGAAAUGUUCCAGAUGUACAAAAAGCUUAUUUCUUUCAAACUGUGUGCGCAAAAUUGUUAACAUCCCUGUUAAUUAGCAUGUUAUCCUUUGAUUACAGCCUCAAGUCUUCUUGGGUAUGACACUACAAGUUCAGCACACCUAUAUUUGGGGAGUUUCUCCCAUUCUGCUCUGCAGAUCCUCUCAACCUCUGUCAGGUUGGACGGGGAGCGUCGCUACACAGCUAAUUUCAGG